rfam:Aureimonas sp. Leaf460 contig_4, whole genome shotgun sequence.
CUCCCGGUCUCCACAUCCGGGAAUUCUGAAGAGGCACACCCUCAUUGCCCUAAGUGCGGCGGGUUCAAGCCCUCCAAGCCAAGGCAGACACAUCCGGUCCGGUCGCGCUCGACAGCGCAACGGACCUGCUCACGUCGC